rnacentral:rRNA from 1 species
ACCCGCACAAGCAGCGGAGCGUGUGGUUUAAUUCGUUGCUACACGAAGAACCUUACCUGGGCUUGACAUCUGCGGAAUUUCUACGAAAGUAGGAAGUGCCCUUCGGGGAGCCGCAAGACAGGUGCUGCAUGGCUGUCGUCAGCUCGUGUCGUGAGAUGUUGGGUUAAGUCCCGCAACGAGCGCAACCCUUAUCUUUAGUUACCAUCAUUCAGUUGGGGACUCUAAAGACACUGCCCCGGUCAACGGGGAGGAAGGUGGGGAUGACGUCAAGUCCUCAUGGCCCUUACGACCAGGGCUACACACGUGCUACAAUGGCGCAUACAAAGAGAAGCGACCUCGCGAGAGCAAGCGGACCUCAUAAAGUGCGUCGUAGUCCGGAUUGGAGUCCGCAACUCGACUCCAUGAAGUCGGAAUCGCUAGUAAUCGUGGAUCAGAAUGCCACGGUGAAUACGUUCCCGGGCCUU